AUAUGCCAUAAUUACAGCCAUAGUCCUUGAGGACAAAGGGAGCUACUGCUGUCCCCACUUUCCACUCAGGAUGUGUUCAGUGUGUGCUGUGGUUUGUGUUUCAGAAGGCUUUUACGUGUGUGCUAAAGAGUCACAAGUGGACUGUCUACUAAAUGACCUUCCUUUAGAUUUCCUAGUCUUGCUAAGAAAAUAUCUCGACUAAGACACUGACAGAAACCCAGGGUCACUGAAGCAAAGUUCCUCUUUGUUCUCACCAUCAUGUGACUCUAAGAUGAAGACUUAAGUUCAUCACUUUCAAUCAAAGCUGACCAAGCUCUACAACUUCAGGAGAUCUCAAGCUGCUUCCUCUUGAAAGGACAAUGAAAAGUUAAUUAGUUCUGGCAUUUCCCAGGGAUCAUUCAUUCAACAGCCAUGGCUCUAUGAUGGCUAUUUACUGAUCUUCAUGUUCACUGUGAUUGGUGCAGCUAUGGUGAUUAAUCCAAAUGGUCAAAAGGACAAGCCACUCCUGCUCAGUGAUUAGGCCCUCUUUGCAUUGUGGGAGCUAACAGCAACUGGGAUUGCUCUUUUUCUUGUACAGCUAUCAAGCAGCAACCCUGACAAAGGAUGGCAGGUAUU